AGCUUUAGAAAUACACAGGAGUGUGUAUAAAAGCAAAAGCAAGACCAUGAAACAGCUGAGUUUAGAAUAGGGUAGCAGAGAAUGAGUUUAGCCUGAGCUGAGAUAAACUAGUCUUUAUUCUGCCCAAAAGAAGCCUUUCUUUUGGGUUUAUUUU
rfam:Bacillus sp. NRRL B-41092 Bacillus-sp-B-41092_contig_14, whole genome shotgun sequence.